CCUACGGGAGGCUGCAGUGGGGAAUCUUCCGCAAUGGACGAAAGUCUGACGGAGCAACGCCGCGUGAGUGAUGAAGGUCUUCGGAUUGUAAAACUCUGUUGUUAGGGACGAAAGCACCGUGUUCGAACAGGUCAUGGUGUUGACGGUACCUAACGAGGAAGCCACGGCUAACUACGUGCCAGCAGCCGCGGUAAUACGUAGGUGGCAAGCGUUGUCCGGAAUUAUUGGGCGUAAAGAGCAUGUAGGCGGGCUUUUAAGUCUGACGUGAAAAUGCGGGGCUUAACCCCGUAUGGCGUUGGAUACUGGAAGUCUUGAGUGCAGGAGAGGAAAGGGGAAUUCCCAGUGUAGCGGUGAAAUGCGUAGAUAUUGGGAGGAACACCAGUGGCGAAGGCGCCUUUCUGGACUGUGUCUGACGCUGAGAUGCGAAAGCCAGGGUAGCAAACGGGAUUAGAUACCCCUGUAGUC
rnacentral:rRNA from 1 species